rnacentral:rRNA from 1 species
AUUGAACGCUGGCGGCAUGCCUUACACAUGCAAGUCGAACGGUAACGCGGGGCAACCUGGCGACGAGUGGCGAACGGGUGAGUAAUGCAUCGGAACGUGCCCAGUAGUGGGGGAUAGCCCGGCGAAAGCCGGAUUAAUACCGCAUACGACCUACGGGUGAAAGGGGGGGAUCGCAAGACCUCUCGCUAUUGGAGCGGCCGAUGUCAGAUUAGGUAGUUGGUGGGGUAAAGGCCUACCAAGCCGACGAUCUGUAGCUGGUCUGAGAGGACGACCAGCCACACUGGGACUGAGACACGGCCCAGACUCCUACGGGAGGCAGCAGUGGGGAAUUUUGGACAAUGGGCGCAAGCCUGAUCCAGCCAUGCCGCGUGCGGGAAGAAGGCCUUCGGGUUGUAAACCGCUUUUGUCAGGGAAGAAAUCUUUUGAGUUAAUACCUCGGAAGGAUGACGGUACCUGAAGAAUAAGCACCGGCUAACUAUGUGCCAGCCGCCGCAGUAACAC